UACGUAGGUGGCAAGCGUUAUCCGGAAUUAUUGGGCGUAAAGAGCGCGCAGGUGGUUGAUUAAGUCUGAUGUGAAAGCCCACGGCUUAACCGUGGAGGGUCAUUGGAAACUGGUCGACUUGAGUGCAGAAGAGGGAAGUGGAAUUCCAUGUGUAGCGGUGAAAUGCGUAGAUAUAUGGAGGAACACCAGUGGCGAAGGCGACUCUCUGGUCUGUAACUGACGCUGAGGCUCGAAAGCGUGGGGAGCAAACAGGAUUAGAUA
rnacentral:rRNA from 1 species